rnacentral:rRNA from 1 species
CUAAGAAUAUUCCGCAAUGGACGAAAGUCUGACGGAGCGACGCCGCGUGGCUGACGAAGGCCGCAAGGUUGUAAAAUCCUUUUGCUGGGGCAGAAUAAGUCCAGGAGGGAAUGCCUGGAUGAUGACAUGAACCGGCGAAUAAGCCCCGGCCAACUACGUGCCAGUAGCCGCGGUAACACGUAGGGGGCAAGCGUUGUUCGGAAUUACUGGGCGUAAAGGGCAUGUAGGCGGUUUAGUAAGCUUGGCGUGAAAGACCACAGCCCAACUGUGGGGUUGCGUUGAGAACUGCUGAACUUGAGUUACGGAGAGGGAGCUAGAAUUCCUGGUGUAGGGGGGGAAUCUGGAGAGAUCAGGAAGAAUACCGAUGGCGAAGGCGAGCUUCUGGCCGAUAACUGACGCUGAGGUGCGAGAGUGUGGAGAGCAAACA